GAUACCGAUCCGACCCAACAGACCCAAAUCCAAUUCGCUCAAUUUCCACUCUUCUCCAGCCCAUCGCUCAAUGCAACCGACCCAGCCCGUCGAGACCGGCCCAAAGGUUUUUUUAUCAGAACCACAUGCACACAGAGAUAUAGUUUGGAAGGCACAAAGAGAGAGGCCGCAUACCCAUUACCCCAUAAUCGGUAAA